AGCGAACGCUGGCGGCAGGCUUAACACAUGCAAGUCGAGCGGGCCCUUCGGGGUCAGCGGCGGACGGGUGAGUAACGCGUGGGAACGUGCCCUCUGGUCUGGAAUAACCCUGGGAAACUAGGGCUAAUACCGGAUACGCCCUUUUGGGGAAAGGCUUGCUGCCGGAGGAUCGGCCCGCGUCUGAUUAGCUAGUUGGUGGGGUAACGGCCUACCAAGGCGACGAUCAGUAGCUGGUCUGAGAGGAUGAUCAGCCACACUGGGACUGAGACACGGCCCAGACUCCUACGGGAGGCAGCAGUGGGGAAUAUUGGACAAUGGGCGCAAGCCUGAUCCAGCCAUGCCGCGUGAGUGAUGAAGGCCUUAGGGUUGUAAAGCUCUUUUAUCCGGGACGAUAAUGACGGUACCGGAGGAAUAAGCCCCGGCUAACUUCGUGCCAGCCGCCGCCGUAACAC
rnacentral:rRNA from 1 species